rnacentral:lncRNA from 1 species
AAAUUACUUUGGCUAAAAUGCAGAGCUCUUGUACAAGAGAAGUGGGAAACAACACUGGAGAAAAAUGGGGGCCAAUAUAUAAGGACUAGAAGGAAGGAUAGUAAAUACUUCAGGAACUCAGAGAACUAGCAGCUAACAUGAAGAUGGAAUGUGGCACUACCAAUCUAUUUCCUCUCACCUUUGCUGAAGAAAGACAUCCCAGAAGACUUCAUUUCUUAAAAUUGCAUCUGCUGACAAAUUCUAACAUGGAAGAAUAUUAAACUGGAGAUUCUGAUGAAGGCAACUAGGAAGGAGAAAAUCAUGCAAAGAGGUACUGGGGUGGCUGCCUUUCAUUCAACACAUGUCAAGGUGGGCCGUCCUUACCCCCUCUAGCCAAGCAGCUUUUCACAGCUGGACCUGGGCAUUUUCUGGAAUAAAAACAUAAACUGCAUAGCCA